UGUAUAAUGGGUCAGCGACUUAUAUUCUGUAGCAAGGUUAACCGAAUAGGGGAGCCGAAGGGAAACCGAGUCUUAACUGGGCGUUAAGUUGCAGGGUAUAGACCCGAAACCCGGUGAUCUAGCCAUGGGCAGGUUGAAGGUUGGGUAACACUAACUGGAGGACCGAACCGACUAAUGUUGAAAAAUUAGCGGAUGACUUGUGGCUGGGGGUGAAAGGCCAAUCAAACCGGGAGAUAGCUGGUUCUCCCCGAAAGCUAUUUAGGUAGCGCCUCGUGAAUUCAUCUCCGGGGGUAGAGCACUGUUUCGGCAAGGGGGUCAUCCCGACUUACCAACCCGAUGCAAACUGCGAAUACCGGAGAAUGUUAUCACGGGAGACACACGGCGGGUGCUAACGUCCGUCGUGAAGAGGGAAACAACCCAGACCGCCAGCUAAGGUCCCAAAGUCAUGGUUAAGUGGGAAACGAUGUGGGAAGGCCCAGACAGCCAGGAUGUUGGCUUAGAAGCAGCCAUCAUUUAAAGAAAGCGUAAUAGCUCACUGGUCGAGUCGGCCUGCGCGGAAGAUGUAACGGGGCUAAACCAUGCACCGAAGCUGCGGCAGCGACGCUUA
rnacentral:rRNA from 1 species